UGCCAGCCGCCGCGGUAAUACGGAGGGUGCAAGCGUUGUUCGGAAUUACUGGGCGUAAAGCGCGCGUAGGCGGCUUUUUAAGUCAGAUGUGAAAGUCCACGGCUCAACCGUGGAAGUGCAUUUGAAACUGGAAAGCUUGAGUAUCAGAGGGGAUGGUGGAAUUCCCGGUGUAGAGGUGAAAUUCGUAGAUAUCGGGAGGAAUACCGGUGGCGAAGGCGACCAUCUGGCUGAAUACUGACGCUGAGGUGCGAAAGCGUGGGGAGCAAACAGGAUUAGAUA
rnacentral:rRNA from 1 species